GUAAACGCCUUGAAGAAAAGAGUAGUUUUAUUAAUUCUGAUAAAGAGAGCUCUUGUUUGGUGAAAAAGAGACAGUACGAUAAGACGAAGAUGGUUUUGGAGUGGUGAGGCUGAACUAUUUAGAUUUUUUAAGAAAACAUUUUAAAUAGAUAAGCUUCGACAGGUGCGCCUGUUAUAGCGCGAUUGAGUAAUAUUAUUUAGUGAAAAAUAUUACUUAUAGAGGCUUUUAUUGUGAAAUAAAAGUGAAAUGAAGUGGUAACGUGGAUAAUCCGCCUUCUGU
rnacentral:ncRNA from 1 species